AUGCCAGCAAAUUUAGAAAAGUCAGCAGUGGCCACAUACUGGAAAAGAUCAGUUCUCAUUCCAAUCUCAAAGAAAGGCAAUGCCAAACAAUGCUCAAACUACUGCACAAUUGUUCUCAUCUCACAUGCUAGUAAAGUAAUGCUCAAAAUUCUCCAAGACAGGCUUCAGCAGUAUGUGAACUAUGAAAUUCCAGAUGUUCAAGCUGGUUUUAGAAAAGGCAGAGGAACCAGAGAUCAAAUUGCCAACAUCCUCUGGAUCAUGGAAAAAGCAAGAGAGUUCCAGAAAAACAUCUAUUUCUGCUUUACUGGGUAUGCCAAAGCCUUUGACUGUGUGGAUCACAAUAAACUGUGGAAAAUUCUGAAAGAGAUGGGAAUACCAGACUACCUCACCUGCCUCUUGAGAAACCUAUGUGCAGUUCAGGAAGCAACAGUUAGAACUGGACAUGGAACAGACUGGUUCCAAAUAGGAAAAGGAGUACUUCAAGGCUGUAUAUUGUCACCCUGCUUAUUUAACUGCUAUGCAGAGUACAUCAUGAUAAAUGUUGGGCUGGCAGAAGCACAAGCUGGAAUCAAGAUUGCCGGGAGAAAUAUCAAUAACCUCCGAUAUGCAGAUGACACCACCCUUAUGGCAGAAAGGGAAGAGGAACUAAAAAGCCUCUUGAUGAAAGUGAAAGAGGAGAGUGAAAAAGUUGGCUUAAAGCUCAACAUUCAGAAAACGAAGAUCAUGGCAUCUGGUCCCAUCACUUCAUGGCAAAUAGAUGGGGAAACAGUGGAAACAGUGUCAGACUUUAUUUUUCUGGGCUCCAAAAUCACUGCAGAUGGUGAUUGCAGCCAUAUAAUUAAAAGAUAUUUGCUCCUUGGAAGGAAAGUUAUGAGCAACCUAGAUAGCAUAUUGAAAAGCGGAGAUAUUACUUUGCCAACAAGGGUCCGUCUAGUCAAGGCUAUGGUUUUUCCAGUAGUCAUGUAUGGAUGUGAGAGGUGGACUGGGAAGAAAGCUGAGAACUGA
rnacentral:lncRNA from 1 species